AAAUACUAAAUCAACUAAAAUAAUUACCUCCAAGACUUACUAAGACUCCAUUUCUUCUCCACUAAAUUUAUUCUUCUUUCUUUAAUAUCUUUUAAGCACAUCUUUACCUAAUAAUUGUAAUUUAGGAACUCUCUAUGCAUUCUUUUGUCCUAAAACAACUAGUGAGUCAAUCUGAUGACUCACACCAUGGUCAAUCAAAGCAACAAUAGGCUCAUCUAUAUCUACAAUCUUCACUAAUGUC
rnacentral:lncRNA from 1 species